rnacentral:rRNA from 1 species
CACGCAGGCGGCUGGGCAAGUCUGACGUGAAAGCUCCCGGCUAAACUGGGGGAGGUCGUUGGAAACUGCUUGGCUUGAGGUAAUGAGAGGGGUGCGGAAUUCCCGGUGUAGUGGUGGAAUGCGUAGAUAUCGGGAGGAACACCAGUGGCGAAAGCGGCACCCUAGCAUUGACCUGACGCUCAUGUGCGAAAGCGUGGGGAGCGAACG